CACGUAGGGCGCAAGCGUUGUCCGGAAUUAUUGGGCGUAAAGAGCUCGUAGGCGGUCUGUUACGUCUGCUGUGAAAACCCGGGGCGUUAACCCUGGGCUUGCAGUGGAUACGGGCAGACUAGAGGCAGGUAGGGGAGAAUGGAAUUCCCGGUGUAGCGGUGAAAUGCGCAGAUAUCGGGAGGAACACCGGUGGCGAAGGCGGUUCUCUGGGCCUGACCUGACGCUGAGGAGCGAAAGCGUGGGGAGCGAACAGG
rnacentral:rRNA from 1 species